GUUGUGGGCUGUUGCAGUUUUCGCUGGUUGGAGGCUAAGGUGAAGUUGGCGUUCUCGCGUCUGCGCCCAAAUCCGCCGGCGUGGUUUGAAUUUUAAAUCAGUACUGCUCUUUUCUGGUGUCUAAACGACUAGUUUCCCGGGUUUGCGUGGAUCAACGGAAACCCCGAAGGACCAAGCUUAUCGCUGCCGCGGGUACGCGAGACAGAUGUGGCACCUUCCCUGACCCGCCAGUGCCCAGACUCUCAAUGUCCCCCCGCCCACCGCGCCCCCAACACACACACACACACACACACACACACACACUCACACUCUCCCCCCCCCCCCCCCCCCCCCCCUUUCCUCUCCUCCUCUCCAGGAAUCUCCCUGCUGGACCUGAGAGGGUUGAGGGCAGCCCCAGGAGAAGGAAAGGACCCUGGACUGCACGCUGAGGAGUCAGGAAGCAGCUGUCCCCCAGCCAGGGGCCUGCGAAAGCCGGGUGCAGACUGAACCGUUCAGCCCCAGGACAAAGUUGUUCUAACGAAGAACAACUCCUCAAAGUUGUGUUUCAGAAGUCAUGUUCCUCAAGCUACCCUAAGGAGCAUGGGUCAGUGACCAAGAGGCUAGCUUUACUUCGUUUCAAUACUAGAAUCUCCACCCGGAAGAACUAAAGCCUCAUUUGCAUAACAUGAAAAGUGCUGCUAGAUGCCAGCCCAGGAUCUUCCUGCAGGUGCAGACCAAGGUGCCUCUGCCCCUCUUGCACUCGCAUUCCCUGCCCAAAGCAAACUGCACCCGGCUGGCCUGGCCUCUGUGGGCGAUUCCCCACGGUCUCCUUAUUUGCUGCAAAUAAGUUUUCCUCUGUGUGACAGCCAUGUUUGGUGUUCUGUUCCAAUUUGAUUCCCACUAAGAGGUGGACCCAUUGAAUCUGGUGACAUUCUGACCAGUUCAAUGGCCUUGGGCAAGCAGUGAGCAUCUCGGCCUGUUUCCUCUUCUGCUCCAUGGGGAUUACACCUGCCUGUGGAAUCAUCGUGGGGUUUGGAGCACCAGUCUUUGGUGCCUCUUAGCUCCCUUCUUCCUGCUUGGGAAAAAUUUUUCCAUCCUUACUGUGGAAUUAAAUAAUUUUUCCCAGAAAACUGCCCUUUCCCACCACUCAACACCCAUAAACCAUGUUGCUAGUUCACAACUUUUUCUUAAUAAUCCUGUUCAUUAUUCUCCCACCCUUUUCCUCUGAGUUGUAUGCUGAGAAUUUUUAUGCUUAACCAUUCAAACUUUUACUGAGCACCUGCGUGCAAAGUAAAAUUUGAAUUAGUGGGCAUUCUUUAAUAUCUUCUGUAUGUUGUAUUUCUUAAAAGAAAAGGAGUUUCUAUCAAUUUAUUCUUGUUAUUUCUUCAGUCUUUCUUUACUCUUUGGAGCAAGGAUUCAAUAGCUAGGAAGAUCAUACAGCUUUUCUAAACAAUACCUUUUUUUUUUCCUGUUUUUUUUUUCUCUCUUUAAAUUCCAAACUCCUAAAGAACUAGAUUCAUCUCUUCUUCGCCUUUCCUUCUUUCUUUCUCUUGUUCAAGGUUAGAAGUCUUGUUAACAGGAAAUAAAUUCUUUCCAUCAAAUACAGCCUUCUGUUGAUUGUCUCCUCAAAAAAAAAAAAAAAAAAGGUCAGAGCUGGGUCUCUCUUGUAACCAAGUAGUCCCAGGAGCAUCUCAGCAAUUCCAGGGUUUCCAUACAUAAUAUGCUCAGGUCAGAUUAGGUUUCCUGUUUGGUGGUUUUAGGGCCUUUCUAUUUGGAUCUGAAAUCCUUCCUGUGUUUCCCCACCUGAUAUUUUAAAUGGCAUUAUUUGCACACCAUAUUCAUGGUACUUAAAAGCAGAUUGGAAAAAAUCCAAUUGUUAAUGCCCACAUCUUCUUUGUUGGGGUCCAUUAAGUCAGUUCUUCAGUGUAUGUAUUGUGGCACCUUAAUUAUAGCCAUGCGAUAUCAGAUUGCUACCAAUGAAGAAAUUUUCAUUUUUUAAUGUGGAUUAUUUGUGGGGAAAAAUUGAAUUUGACUAUGAACUUUGCUGACCUUGCCUUAGCAACAUGGGUAAAUCCAAGGUGUUUAUAGACCAUUGAAUCCUCUCUUUAUCCCCAUGGGUUCUUGGGCAGCUUAUUUCAUUGUUCUAAGCAUUCAUUUCCUCAUCUGUGAAGUGGCAGGUACCAGCGUGAGGACAGACAUGUACAGACUGCUCUGUGCCUGGUGUGGAGUGUGCCUCCAUUCGCAGCUCUUUCACUUGCUUUCCAGGCCUCCAAGAUCCGGAACCCACUUGUUUCCUAAUAGGUAUUCCCUUGUCCCUGGACUCAAGCUGCUCUGUUCAUGCACUCAUCCAGAAAUUAUCAAGCCUUAUUGUCAGUUUCCUUUGGUAGGAAAAUAUCCUACUGUCCUAUCGUCCUCUCCCAGUUGACUGUGUUAGGAUGUCCCCAGUGCCUUGCAAACACUGGCACAUCAGAGGAACUGCACUCCCUGCUUCCCCCUUGGCCCUCCAUGAAGGCUAGCUGGUGUUUAUUACGGAUAUACAUAUGUCCACCCAGUAUUCCUUCCCCCGAGAAGCCACUUUUCCUCCUCUAUGCUCAGUUCUCUGUCUUACAGGAGGGCACAUAACCCAAACCUGAACUCUCAUUCCCUGAGACUUUGGCUGGUUACCAAUACAACCUUCUCUGCUGCUUUGGUCUGGUGGACCAGGAGGGCCACUCUGGACACAGGUGGGGAGCCCACCUAUGCAGGGAGCUCUGAGAAGC
rnacentral:lncRNA from 1 species